GGUCAAUCAGAAAAUGCUGUGACAUUUAAUGCCCUACAGCUCCUCACCUCACUCAUGGGACUGCUUGGGAGGAAACACAUGCCAGUAUCACAAAAUGCUCUGCUCUCUCAGGAUAGUAGUACUCUUUAUACACUGCUAAAGUGGAGAUCUAAAAUGAGAGGCCUAUGCAAGAGGAAUUGUAGAAAACUAGAAAAUAAGUAAAUAAAGCCAUUUCUUUAGUUUGCCUAGACAGACGCGUCUCAGCUGCUCUGCUGACCUGCACAAAAGGCUGACCCAUCAUAAAUGUUUGAGGUCUCUCUGUAAGGACUGUCGGUGCCACUCACAUCGUGGUGAUCUCGACUCAGGACAACCGGUGCCUACAAAAAACCAAGGACAAGGAAGUGGAAUCCUACACAGAUUGUCAACUCUGUCAUUCACAGUCUGUUUUUUUGCAGAUUUCACUCUCUGCCUUAUUGACUUACCAUCUCAUUUCAAAUCUCAUCUAAAAAGAACUCGUUACUCCCCACCCUAAUCCUCUUAAUUUCCUUCUCCCUCUGCCAUCAAUUUUUAUUAUAACUGGUAAAGAAAUGCUGACUUUUUGUGUGUGAAAUCUGGUGGAGAAAAUCACCAUCAUUUCACACCCAGAGAUGAAGAGCCUUUUUUGAGAGCUCUUCAUGAAAAUUGUAUUUUCACACUAAAAAAAAAAUGCAAAAUGUUGCAAGUAAUUGAUCUGAAUUGACUGUUACCUGAAAUUUUAAAGACUUUGUGGAUUGGUUAAUCCUCAUGUGAAAUAGAACAACAAAAAACAGGGCAAAGCCAUAUUUCUUCAUGAAUUUGCAACAUUUUUUGAAAUGUGAAAUUAAGUAUAAUAUCUGAGACUAUGAGAGAUUACACAAAUAUUUUUGAAAAGUUCCACAUUUCAUUUUAUAGUUUAACUCGAACUUUAUCAUUUAGUACAACUGCAUUUGUAACUCUACAGCAUUUAAGGAAACUGUUUGUUUUUAUGAAAGAUGCUGUCCAAAAUGAGAGACCAGUCCUGUGAACCUCACUCACGGAGUAUUCUUUAUUCAUAUAAUACUAUUGACUGCAGUGGUACUGCCUGUGCGAUCAAAGCUUUGUGAGGUCAGGCCCUUAGCUUGUCUUGUAUUGUUUUCAUUGAUUCUUAACCACAAAU